rnacentral:lncRNA from 1 species
UCUCAUCGGCCUUUUUAUCGCCGCCACCAGCAGCGGCACCAUCGUCUUUCUUAGGUUGGGGAGAGAGACUCUCGACUUUCCUCUUGGUUCUCUCUUUAAGCCUGGCUUUGAUUUUUGCUGGGUCCGCUUUCCCCGUCACCGUUAGUUUCUUCUCUUCCUCCUUUUUCGGAGGAACCACCUCCACCGCUAUCCUUAGUUCCUCUUUUAGGCACGGUGCCAAGUCCUUCACGUCCAUUGUUCCCUUUACAGUGACCAGAUACUUCGCCGCGUCCACAGUCACGCUGCCCACACCUGUUUUUAAUUAGCCACGUCAGCCAUCUAUUUUUUACUAUUUUGCCACCGACUUUGAAUAUUUAGAUUUAAUAUGUUAGUUUGAUCUAAUAAUCAAAUGUAUAAUUAACUAAUUACCUUCGAUUUUGGAGAUGAUUUUCUCUACUUUUGAAAUGCAACCUUCACAGUUUUCACAGUGUAGCCUGAUUUUCAAACGACGGUACUCUGCAACCACCAGGAGUUAUUAAAAAUUAGAAAAAUAAUAACAAUAGAAAACAAGAGGAUAAUCAACGUCUAUAUUCACGAUUAAAUCUUAGUAGCAGUAAUUUACUUAUUUAUUUACCUCUGGAGGUGGUUUUUUCGCUUCUUCCUUCUUCCCCUCCGAUUUCUUAUCGGCCUUUUUAUCGCCACCAGCAGCGACACCAUCGUCUUUCUUAGGUUGGGGAGAGAGAAUCUCGACUUUCCUCUUGGUCUUCUCUUCAAGCGUGGCUUUGAUUUUUGCUGGGUCCACUUUCCCCGUCACCGUUAGUUUGUUGCCGGCACAAUCUGUCUUCAUACCUUCCACGCCUGAAUAAACCCACAAAAACAUCGUCUUAGCAACCGGAAAAUCAAACUCAGAUACAUUAAUUCUUAGAUUGCUAAAUGUUAGUUGCUAUAAAUAAAUAAAAAUCACCUUCUAAAUGUUUAAUGGCGUGUCUAAUUUCCUUGGCACAGCCUUCACAAUACAUGCCCAGCUUGUAAACGGAAAUAACUUUGGCCUCAUCUUUCUUUUCACCUGCAUCAGCAGCGGGCUUCUUCUCGGCUUCAGCUUUCGCACCCUCUUUCUG